rnacentral:rRNA from 1 species
UUCGGGUUGAUCCUGCCGGACCUGACUGCUAUCGGAUUGGUACUGAGCCAUGCGAGUCAUUGUAGCAAUACAAGGCGGACGGCUCAGUAACACGUAGUCAACCUAACUCGUGGACGUGGAUAACCUCGGGAAACUGAGAAUAAACCACGAUAGAUCAUAGUGCCUGGAAUGGCUUAUGGUCCAAACAGUUUACUGCCAUGGGAUGGGACUGCGGCCUAUCAGCUUGUUGGUGAGGUAAUGGCCCACCAAGGCGAUUACAGGUACGGGCUCUGAGAGGAGAAGCCCGGAGAUGGGUACUGAGACACGGACCCAGGCCCUAUGGGGCGCAGCAGGCGAGAAACCUUAGCAAUGUGCGAAAGCACGACUGGGUCAGUCCGAGUGAUUCCUGAUAAAGGAGUCUUUUGCUUGUCCUAAAAGCACAGGUGAAUAAGGGGUGGGCAAGUCUGGUGUCAGCCGCCGCGGUAAUACCAGCACCUCGAGUGGUCAGGACGUUUAUUGGGCCUAAAGCAUCCGUAGCCGGCUCUGCAAGUCUUCGGUUAAAUCCACCUGCUCAACAGAUGGGCUGCUGGAGAUACUACAGAGCUAGGGAGUGGGAGAGGCAGACGGUAUUCAGUGGGUAGGGGUAAAAUCCUCUGAUCCAUUGAGGACCACCAGUGGCGAAGGCGGUCUGCCAGAACACGUUCGACGGUGAGGGAUGAAAGCUGGGGGAGCAAACCGGAUUAGAUACCCGGGUAGUCCCAGCUGUAAACGAUGCAGACUCGGUGAUGAGUUGGCUUAUUGCUAACUCAGUGCCGCAGGGAAGCCGUUAAGUUUGCCGCCUGGGGCGUACGGUCGCAAGACUGAAACUUAAAGGAAUUGGCGGGGGAGCA